rnacentral:rRNA from 1 species
UAAUACGGAGGGGGCCAGCGUUGUUCGGAAUUAUUGGGCGUAAAGGGCGCGUAGGCGGUCGGGUAAGUCUGACGUGAAAUCCCUUGGCUCAACCAAGGAACUGCGUCUUAAACUGCCCGGCUUGAGUCCGGGAGAGGGUAGUGGAAUUCCCAGUGUAGCGGUGAAAUGCGUAGAUAUUGGGAGGAACACCGGUGGCGAAGGCGGCUACCUGGACCGGUACUGACGCUGAGGCGCGAAAGCUAGGGUAGCAAACAGGAUUAGAUACCCUGGUAGUCCUAGCUGUAAACGAUGGGCACUUGGUGUAGCGGGUAUCGACCCCUGCUGUGCCGAAGCUAACGCAUUAAGUGCCCCGCCUGGGGAGUACGGUCGCAAGGCUG